CAGUAGCCGCGGUAAUGCGAAGGGUGCAAGCGUUAAUCGGAAUUACUGGGCGUAAAGCGUGCGUAGGCGGUGAGUUAAGUCUGCUGUGAAAUCCCCGGGCUCAACCUGGGAAUGGCAGUGGAUACUGGCUCGCUAGAGUGUGUCAGAGGAUGGUGGAAUUCCCGGUGUAGCGGUGAAAUGCGUAGAGAUCGGGAGGAACAUCAGUGGCGAAGGCGGCCAUCUGGGACAACACUGACGCUGAGGCACGAAAGCGUGGGGAGCAAACAGGAUUAGAUACCCCAGUAGUCCCUGUCUCUUAUAA
rnacentral:rRNA from 1 species